AGACUGAAGAGUUUGAUCCUGGCUCAGAUUGAACGCUGGCGGCAUGCUUUACACAUGCAAGUCGAACGGCAGCAUGGGCUUCGGCCUGAUGGCGAGUGGCGAACGGGUGAGUAAUACAUCGGAACGUGCCCCGUAGUGGGGGAUAACCAGCCGAAAGGUUGGCUAAUACCGCAUAUGCUCUGCGGAGGAAAGCGGGGGAUCGCAAGACCUCGCGCUAUGGGAGCGGCCGAUGUCCGAUUAGCUUGUUGGUGGGGUAAAGGCCUACCAAGGCGACGAUCGGUAGCUGGUCUGAGAGGAUGAUCAGCCACACUGGGACUGAGACACGGCCCAGACUCCUACGGGAGGCAGCAGUGGGGAAUUUUGGACAAUGGGGGCAACCCUGAUCCAGCCAUGCCGCGUGAGUGAAGAAGGCCUUCGGGUUG
rnacentral:rRNA from 1 species